ensembl:lncRNA
CGUCACUCUCAGGAAGCUCCACUCCAAUGAGAAGAGAUGGACAGUAUAGACACAAAUAGAUACAGCCUGUAUGGUAGGGAAGUCACCAGCACAGACUUGGAGUAGCUCUUCAUACUACAUCCGUGUGGAGUAACUCUUCAUACUACAUCCGUGUGAAGAAGAAGAAGGCACAAAGUUCAUCUUCCAAAGUCAAACAGAAAGCAAUGAGGCAAGCAGUAUGAGAGCUGUCUGUGGCCGCAUCAUGUGGGAAGUAUAUGCUACAUGCUAGUGGCCAGACUGUGUCUUGGAAGUCAAAAUUACAACUGCAGACCAGG